rnacentral:rRNA from 1 species
UACGGGGGGGCAAGCGUUGUUCGGAAUUACUGGGCGUAAAGCGUGCGCAGGCGGUUCGCUAAGACCGAUGUGAAAUCCCCGGGCUUAACCUGGGAACUGCAUUGGUGACUGGCGGGCUAGAGUAUGGCAGAGGGGGGUAGAAUUCCACGUGUAGCAGUGAAAUGCGUAGAGAUGUGGAGGAAUACCGAUGGCGAAGGCAGCCCCCUGGGCCAAUACUGACGCUCAUGCACGAAAGCGUGGGGAGCAAACAGG